AUCAUGGCAAGGAAGAGAGGAUG
rnacentral:siRNA from 1 species